rnacentral:rRNA from 1 species
GCCUCUAAGCAUCAGGUAACAUCAAAUCGUACCCCAAACCGACACAGGUGGUCAGGUAGAGAAUACCAAGGCGCUUGAGAGAACUCGGGUGAAGGAACUAGGCAAAAUGGUGCCGUAACUUCGGGAGAAGGCACGCUGACACGUAGGUGAAGUGAUUUACUCAUGGAGCUGAAGUCAGUCGAAGAUACCAGCUGGCUGCAACUGUUUAUUAAAAACACAGCACUGUGCAAACACGAAAGUGGACGUAUACGGUGUGACGCCUGCCCGGUGCCGGAAGGUUAAUUGAUGGGGUCAGCGCAAGCGAAGCUCCUGAUCGAAG